GUUGAACGCUAGCUACAGGCUUAACACAUGCAAGUCGAGCGACCGGCGCGCGUGUGAGAUACACGUAUCCAACCUGCCUUUUAGUCGGUGACAGCCUUUCGCAAGAAAGAUUACUACCCGAUGGAAAGAGCGGGGAUGCGUUGUAUUAGGUUGUUGGUAAGGUACCGGCCCACCAAGCCUUCGAUGGAUAGGGGUUCUGAGAGGAAGGCCCCCCACAUUGGAACUGAUGCCCUGGCCAAACUCCGAGGGGAGAGAGGAGAAUGGAGUAUUGGGCAAUGGGCGUUAGCCUGGACCAGCCAAGUGGCGUGAAGAAUGAAGGGUUAUGGAUGUUCAACUUCUUUUAUGUAAGGAUCUUUAUUAUAUGAAUAAGGAUCGGCUAACUCCGUGCCAGCAGCCGCGGUAAUUC
rnacentral:rRNA from 1 species